rnacentral:rRNA from 1 species
GGGUCAGUAGGUUGGUCGUGCCACCGGUACGUACUGGUCUCACUUAUUCCUCCUUCCUGAAGAACCGUAUUGCCAUUAAUUUGGUGUUGCGGGGAAACAGGACUGUUACUUUGAAAAAAUUAGAGUGUUUAAAGCAAGCUAACGCUUGAAUACAUUAGCAUGGAAUAAUGAAAUAGGACGAUCGAUCCUAUUUUGUUGGUUUCUAGGAUUGACGUA